UACGUAGGGCGCAAGCGUUGUUCGGAAUUACUGGGCGUAAAGGGCUCGUAGGCGGCCAACUAAGUCGGACGUGAAAUCCCUCGGCUUAACCGGGGAACUGCGUCCGAUACUGGAUGGCUUGAGUUUGGGAGAGGGAUGCGGAAUUCCAGGUGUAGCGGUGAAAUGCGUAGAUAUCUGGAGGAACACCGGUGGCGAAGGCGGCAUCCUGGACCAAUACUGACGCUGAGGAGCGAAAGCCAGGGGAGCAAACGGG
rnacentral:rRNA from 1 species